CCUACGGGUGGCUGCAGUGGGGAAUAUUGGACAAUGGGGGGAACCCUGAUCCAGCCAUGCCGCGUGUGUGAAGAAGGCCCUCGGGUUGUAAAGCACUUUCAGUGAGGAAGAACGCCUGGUGGUUAAUACCCAUCAGGAAAGACAUCACUCACAGAAGAAGCACCGGCUAACUCCGUGCCAGCAGCCGCGGUAAUACGGAGGGUGCGAGCGUUAAUCGGAAUUACUGGGCGUAAAGCGCGCGUAGGUGGCUUGAUAAGCCGGUUGUGAAAGCCCCGGGCUCAACCUGGGAACGGCAUCCGGAACUGUCAAGCUAGAGUGCAGGUGAGGAAGGUAGAAUUCCCGGUGUAGCGGUGAAAUGCGUAGAGAUCGGGAGGAAUACCAGUGGCGAAGGCGGCCUUCUGGACUGACACUGACACUGAGGUGCGAAAGCGUGGGUAGCAAACAGGAUUAGAUACCCGAGUAGUC
rnacentral:rRNA from 1 species